rnacentral:tRNA from 1 species
UAAAAACUUAAGUUUAACUAAACUAAGAGCCUUCAAAGCCCAAAAUAUGGGUAAAACCCCCAUAGUUUUU